rnacentral:rRNA from 1 species
GACGAACGCUGGCGGCGUGCCUAAUACAUGCAAGUAGAACGCUGAAGGAGGAGCUUGCUUCUCUGGAUGAGUUGCGAACGGGUGAGUAACGCGUAGGUAACCUGCCUGGUAGCGGGGGAUAACUAUUGGAAACGAUAGCUAAUACCGCAUAACAGUAGAUAUCGCAUGAUAUCUACUUGAAAGGUGCAAUUGCAUCACUACCAGAUGGACCUGCGUUGUAUUAGCUAGUUGGUGAGGUAACGGCUCACCAAGGCGACGAUACAUAGCCGACCUGAGAGGGUGAUCGGCCACACUGGGACUGAGACACGGCCCAGACUCCUACGGGAGGCAGCAGUAGGGAAUCUUCGGCAGUGGACGGAAGUCUGACCGAGCAACGCCGCGUGAGUGAAGAAGGUUUUCGGAUCGUAAAGCUCUGUUGUAAGAGAAGAACGAGUGUGAGAGUGGAAAGUUCACACUGUGACGGUAUCUUACCAGAAAGGGACGGCUAACUACG